rnacentral:rRNA from 1 species
UACGUAGGUGGCAAGCGUUACUCGGAAUCACUAGGCGUAAAGCGCAGGUAGGCGGUUCGGUAAGUCUUUUGUGAAAGCUCCCGGCUCAACUGGGAGAGGUCAAAGGAAACUACCGGGCUAGAGUGUGGUAGGGGGAAACUGGAAUUCCUGGUGUAGCGGUGAAAUGCGCAGAUAUCAGGAGGAACACCAAUGGCGAAGGCAGCUCGCUGGGACGUGACUGACGCUGAGACGCGAAAGCGUGGGGAGCAAACAGG